CCGAGUAGAGGACUAACACUGAGUUGAGGCGACGGUUUUAGCCCGAAAUCCUCCGGUAGUUAUAAGCGGUAGUGUUAAGUUAGUUGUAAGUGAGUGGUUAUGAGUAGCUGUAAG